rnacentral:lncRNA from 10 species
AAAUCUCAAAGUCUGGGAACCACUGCUGUGGAAUUUACAAAACAUUUUCAGGCACAUAAUCUCACUCAUUUCCCAUUUGACAGGUAGUGACAGAUAAUAAGGCUCCAGGAUAUUUUUUUUGACUUGGCCAAGGUCACAUGGCUGGGAAACAGGGAAGGCAGGACUUCCCAUCGAAAGCCACGCCUGCUUACCACGAGGAAUAACUGAGACUCUUUUCUCUAGCACGGGAAUCUCACACUGAGUCCCCCAUUUCAGAGCAGCCGUCAGUCUAAAAUGGGUCUGUCUUCUCCUCCUGUAGGAGUACAGUGUGUGCUGUUCUCAACGAACGCCCCCCUCCCAGCACCCUUUAGGUGCUGUGGAUGCCCCUGAAACAAGGCCUCAGACUUGGCUUGGACUAUGGGUUCCAUCCAUAGGGUUGGCCUCAUUGAUCAGCGUUACAGGAAGGCUUCGAGGUGGCUCCCUGUGACCGUGUUGUGAGCAAACCAUUCCUGGCAUCCCACCUUGCAGGUGAGGAGACUGCCUCCUAGCCGUGAACUUGUGGAGAAGAAACAAAAAUAACCCAUAAUCCCACUGUUUUGAUGCCACUUACUGAUAUUUGAAAAGAGGUAAAAAUAAAAUAUGAAGACAGAAAAUCCCAUCAUGUAUCCAAAGGCAUGAAUGAAAAGAAAGAGCCUUCUACCAGGACCUCCUGCACCACCCAAGAGUGCCAUUUUCUCAGGGGCUGAGAAGAGCCCCUCCAACAGGGCAGUGACCCGCUUGCCACAACCCACCUUGGCAAAAGCAGUGGAUAUGCCCCAGGACUCCAGGAAGCAGUGUGGCCUCAGAGAGCUUGGUGAGAAAUGUGUGUGGGAAGCAAAGGGCAGCUGAUGACUCACUGCAUGCCCUUAACUCAGUCUCUUCGACUCCUGAAGCCUCAGUUUCCCCACCUGGGGUAUGGUGAUAAUCACCCACUCAGCCACGAUGCUGGGGAGUGCUAACAGUGCCUCCUGCAGCCACCUCCCAGAUAAACCACCAGUACUCCCAUCCUUGUUGGAGGGCCUGUUUUUAGGAAAACCCUGACUAAGGCAGGAAGCUCCCCGCACUGCAGCAGAGGGAGUCAGGAUGCUGAGCUCUGGGUGCCCCAGCUGUCUGGCUCACCAGCCAUGAGAUGCCAGGGAAUAAGGGAACCCGAGGAGAAGGAGAGAGAUGAGGGACCAGCUCCUCGGUGGAGGACGCAGAAUACACACAUUUAUUGAUGAGGUUUGCCAUCUUUUAUGGGCACAGUUUGUGGCACCACAAAACAAUUACAAUGGUGACUUUGAAGAUUAUUGAUCACAGAUCACCAUAACAGAUAUAAUGAUGAAAAGGUUUGAAAUAUUGUGAAAAUUAUCAGAAUAUAACAACAAGACACAAAGUGGGCACAUGCUGUUGGAAAAAUGAUGCUGAUAGACUCGCUUGACACGGGGUUGCCAGAAACCUUUAAUUUUUUUUUUUAAAUGCAAUAUUUGUGAAGCACACUAAAAUUAGGUGUGCCUGGGUAUUAUUUAGCUCUGCCUGAGUUUUGAACUUUAUAUAAUGGAGUCAUACUGUAUAUUUUCUUCUGUGCCUUGCUUCUUUUGCUCAAGAAUAUAUUUGUUGGAUUCAUCUAUUUUUAAUGUGAGUGUUUGUGGUUCAUUCAUUCUCACUUCUAAAUAAUACUCCAGUGUAUGAAUAUGCUGCAAUUUAUUUGCCCAGCCUACUGCUGGUGGAAAUUUGGGGUUUGAGCUAUUAUGAAUAUUGCUGUGAAUAUGGAUUUAUGAAACUCAAGGUUUGCUACUCCAAGUGUAGCCCUCAGAACAGUGGCAGAUUUUCAGGGUCCUAUCCCAGAUCUACUGAAUUAGAAUUUGCAUAUUAGCAAAAUUGUAUGCAUGCUAGAGUUUGAUAAGCACUGCUCUAUGUACCUAGGUUUACACUGAGAAGUAGAGUUGUUGAUCCUAAGGUAACCAUGCAUUAAAUCUUACAAUGAACAGGCAAACUGUUUUCCAAAAUGGUUAUGCCCAUUCCCACUCUACCCUAGUGAAGGACCAGAGUUUCUGUUGGCCCA